AUUGAACGCUGGCGGCAUGCCUUACACAUGCAAGUCGAACGGCAGCGCGGGGCAACCUGGCGGCGAGUGGCGAACGGGUGAGUAAUAUAUCGGAACAUACCCUAGAGUGGGGAUAACGUAGCGAAAGUUACGCUAAUACCGCAUACGCACUAAGGUGGAAAGUGGGGGAUUCGCAAGAACCUCAUGCUCAUGGAGUGGCCGAUAUCUGAUUAGCUAGUUGGUGAGGUAAAGGCUCACCAAGGCAACAAUCAGUAGCUGGUUUGAGAGAACGACCAGCCACACUGGAACUGAGACACGGUCCAGACUCCUACGGAGGCAGCAGUGGGGAAUAUUGGACAAUGGCGAAGCCUGAUCCAGCAAUGCCGCGUGAGUGAAGAAGG
rnacentral:rRNA from 1 species